rnacentral:rRNA from 1 species
GCCAGACUCCUACGGGAGGCAGCAGUGGGGAAUAUUGCACAAUGGGGGAAACCCUGAUGCAGCGACGCCGCGUGAGUGAAGAAGUAUUUCGGUAUGUAAAGCUCUAUCAGCAGGGAAGAAAUAGCGACCUUUGGGUCGCCAGACGGUACCUGAUUAAGAAGCCCCGGCUAACUACGUGCCAGCAGCCGCGGUAAUACGUAGGGGGCAAGCGUUAUCCGGAUUUACUGGGUGUAAAGGGAGCGUAGACGGUUAUGUAAGUCUGGAGUGAAAGCCCGGGGCCCAACCCCGGGACUGCUUUGGAAACUGUGCAGCUAGAGUGCAGGAGAGGUAAGUGGAAUUCCUAGUGUAGCGGUGAAAUGCGUAGAUAUUAGGAGGAACACCAGUGGCGAAGGCGGCUUACUGGACUGUAACUGACGUUGAGGCUCGAAAGCGUGGGGAGCAAACAGGAUUAGAUACCCGUGUAC